rnacentral:lncRNA from 1 species
ACGUGCCCCAUGGGAAUACACGCAUGCCCCCCCACGUGUACACGGGCAUAGACAGGUGCCCACGUACCCCCACGUGUGAACACUGGUGAACGUGUGCCCCAAUGCGUGUCCACACGCGUGAUCCCUCGUGGCCGCGUCUGCGCGCGUCCCCCUCAGACACGCGUGUGCCUGCACCCGUGUCCCCUCAUGUGUGGGUCUGUGCGUGUCCUCUAGGUACGUGGCCCACGUUUGUAGCAAUGCGUGUGUCCCCAUGCACACGUGUGUCCCCUCCAUGUGUCCCCAUGUACACGCGUGCCCCCUCCAUGUGUCUCUGUGUCCCUACGUACACGUGUGCCCCCCUCCAUGUGUCCCCAUGUGCACUUGUGUCCCCUCCUUGUGUCUACGUGUCCCCUCCUUGUGUCUACGUGUCCCCAUGUACACGCGUGUCCCCUCUGUGCCUCAGUUUCCCCAUGUACACGUGUGCCCCCUCUGUGUCUCUGUGUGUCCCCAUGUACACAUGUCCCCUCCAUGUGUCUCCAUGUGUCCCCAUGCACACGUGUGUCCCCUCCAUGUGUCCCCAUGUACACGUGUCCCCUCUAUCUGCCUCAGUUUCCCCAUGUACAUGUGCGUCCCCAUGUACACGUGUGUCCCCUCUAUGUGUCCCCAUGUACACGUGUGUCCCCUCCAUGUGUCCCUAUGUACACGUGUGUCUCCUCCAUGUGUUCCCAUGUACAUGCAUGUCCCCUCCCUGUGUCCCCAUGCACAUGUGUGUCCCCUCUGUGUGUGUCUGUGUCUCCAUGUACACAUGUCCCCUCCAUGAGUCUCUAUGUGUCCCCAUGUACACACGUUUCCCCUUUAUGUGUCUCUGUGUCCCCAUGUACAUGUCUGUCCCCUCCUUGUGUCCCCAUGCACACGUGUGCCCCAUGUCUCUAUGUGUCCCCCCGUACACAUGUCCCCUCCGUGUCUCUACACACGUCCCCCCAUGUACACACGUGUCCAUAUGUCCCUCCCAUGUACACAUCCCCCACGUGUCUAUACACCCGUGUCCCCCCCAUCCCUAUGCCCCUAUACGUGUGCCCCAUGUACCUGAGUGUCCAUAUGGAUGUCCCCCAUGGAUGUGUCCCCACAUGCCCCCCCCAUAGACACGUGGUACACCCACCUAC